rnacentral:rRNA from 1 species
AGAGCGAACGCUGGCGGCAGGCCUAACACAUGCAAGUCGAGCGCCCGUAGCAAUACGGGAGCGGCAGACGGGAUAGUAACACGUGGGAACGCGCCCUUCGGUUCGGAAUAACUCAGGGAAACUUGAGCUAAUACCGAAUACGCCCUUACGGGGAAAGAUUUAUUGCCGAAGGAACGGCCCGCGUCCGAUUAGCUAGUUGGUGAGGUAAUGGCUCACCAAGGCUACGAUCGGUAGCUGGUCUGAGAGGAUGACCAGCAUCACUGGGACUGAGACACGGCCCAGACUCCUACGGGAGGCAGCAGUUUGGAAUUUGGUCAAUGGGGGAAACCCUGAACCAGCGACGCCGCGUGGACGAUGAAGGUUUUUCGGACCGUAAAGUCCUUUUGGCAGGGAAAAUUUUGAUUGUACCUGCAGAAUAAGAGGUUGCUAACUCUGUGCCAGCAGCCGC